UACGUAGGCAGCAAGCGUUGUUCGGAGUUACUGGGCGUAAAGGGUGUGUAGGCGGUUCUUUAAGUUUGGUGUGAAAUCUCCCGGCUCAACCGGGAGGGUGCGCCGAAUACUGAGGAGCUAGAGUGCGGGAGAGGAAAGUGGAAUUCCUGGUGUAGCGGUGAAAUGCGUAGAUAUCAGGAGGAACACCGGUGGUGUAGACGGCUUUCUGGACCGUAACUGACGCUGAGACACGAAAGCGUGGGUAGCAAACAGG
rnacentral:rRNA from 1 species